rnacentral:rRNA from 1 species
UCGAGCGGUAACAGGUGUAGCAAUACAUGCUGACGAGCGGCGGACGGGUGAGUAACGCUUGGGAAUCUGCCUGUUAGUGGGGGACAACCCGGGGAAACUCGGGCUAAUACCGCAUACGCACUACGGUGGAAAGCCGGGGACCGCAAGGCCUGGCGCUAACAGAUGAGCCCAAGUCGGAUUAGCUAGUUGGUAGGGUAACGGCCUACCAAGGCGACGAUCCGUAACUGGUCUGAGAGGACGACCAGUCACACCGGAACUGAGACACGGUCCGGACUCCUACGGGAGGCAGCAGUGGGGAAUAUUGGACAAUGGGGGAAACCCUGAUCCAGCGACGCCGCGUGGGUGAAGAAGGCCUGCGGGUUGUAAAGCCCUUUCGGUUGGGAAGAAAAGCUGCGACCUAACACGUCGCGGCCUUGACGUAACCAACUAAAGAAGCACCGGCUAACUCUGUGCCAGCAGCCGCGGUAAUACAGAGGGUGCGAGCGUUA